UUACGGACAUAUCAUGUUGAAACACAUGUUCUCAUACGAGCACCGAAGUUAAGCAACGUCGAGCUUGGACACUACUUAGAUGGGUGAGUUUUGGGAAUAUCAGGUGAUGUAAG